GUGACACACAUAAGUGUCACAUAUGGACAGGGAACUCAGUCGGAGGUUGCGCAGAGGAUUCUAACGAGGGACAUCACGGAUACGGGAACUACUAUACUUUCACAAUUGAAAAUAAAGGCAUGCGCUCAAUGUGCAAUAUCGUACAGUCGAGUCAUCUUUUCAGUCCUGAAAACAACCCUCGAAAGGGGAAGUCGAUAAACACUCGUUUCAGCUGGUAUUGUUGUUGGUAGCAGUUCGGUGUUUGUUAUCAUUAUUUUGCAGAGUCUUUGAGCCGGUAGUGCGGCUGUGGUUCUUUCGCUGGCAAAUCGACAUUUUCUGUGUUCUAGCAAUGAAGAUAAAAUGAUUUUUAUCAAUUGAAAGUGAGUGGAAUGUAGUGCAGCAGUGGAUAUCAGUGAAGGUGAUACUAUCUCAGUAUUUGGAAAUAAUAACAAACGUAAUAAUAGCAAACGUUACCAAUAGCGAAGCAAGCAAAUACUAAGAUGAUUCCAACUGACGUCAGAACCACAAACAACAGCGCCAGCGACGACCAGCAUGAACUAAGACAGUUUAGCCGGUCCGAUGUUCCACAUGUGGAUCUCUCCAGCCACUGUACCCGCCCACAGAUGGCGCACGAAAUGUACGAAAAACUGCACCAGAUAGCGAAGACACGCAACUUAACAAUCGAUCCAAAAGAUCUGUGGAUUGCGGCAUUUACAGGAUGUAGUCUUCGAUACCGAGAAAUUGAAAUCCACAACAGCUGAAAAAUUAUUAUCACAACUUUCCCUUGCAAUCAAAACACCAGGUGCAAUGUCAGAUGUUUGUUGUUAGCAUGAUAUCCCAAUAUUUUGGAAGAUAGAUGACGAUCGAUGACGAUUGUAUUGUAUUAGUAAAACUAGUCAUAAACUUGCCAUUGAAUAUUUUUAUCUGUAUUGUAUUUGUACCAAGAUUUGUAUGUAAAUUGAUUUAAUACUCAUUUACAUUUAAAUAUAUUGAUAAAUAACUUA